rnacentral:rRNA from 1 species
CAGCAGCCGCGGUAAUACGAAGGGUGCAAGCGUUAAUCGGAAUUACUGGGCGUAAAGCGCGCGUAGGUGGUUUGGUAAGAUGGAUGUGAAAUCCCCGGGCUCAACCUGGGAACUGCAUCCAUAACUGCCUGACUAGAGUACGGUAGAGGGUGGUGGAAUUUCCUGUGUAGCGGUGAAAUGCGUAGAUAUAGGAAGGAACACCAGUGGCGAAGGCGACCACCUGGACUGAUACUGACACUGAGGUGCGAAAGCGUGGGGAGCAAACAGGAUUAGAUACCCCAGUAGUCCCUGUCUCUUAUAA